rnacentral:rRNA from 1 species
AGGGUGACAGCCCCGUACACAAAAAUGCACAUACUGUGAGCUCGAUGAGUAGGGCGGGACACGUGGUAUCCUGUCUGAAUAUGGGGGGACCAUCCUCCAAGGCUAAAUACUCCUGACUGACCGAUAGUGAACCAGUACCGUGAGGGAAAGGCGAAAAGAACCCCGGCGAGGGGAGUGAAAAAGAACCUGAAACCGUGUACGUACAAGCAGUGGGAGCACGCUUCGGCGUGUGACUGCGUACCUUUUGUAUAAUGGGUCAGCGACUUAUAUUCUGUAGCAAGGUUAACCGAAUAGGGGAGCCGAAGGGAAACCGAGUCUUAACUGGGCGUUAAGUUGCAGGGUAUAGACCCGAAACCCGGUGAUCUAGCCAUGGGCAGGUUGAAGGUUGGGUAACACUAACUGGAGGACCGAACCGACUAAUGUUGAAAAAUUAGCGGAUGACUUGUGGCUGGGGGUGAAAGGCCAAUCAAACCGGGAGAUAGCUGGUUCUCCCCGAAAGCUAUUUAGGUAGCGCCUCGUGAAUUCAUCUCCGGGGGUAGAGCACUGUUUCGGCAAGGGGGUCAUCCCGACUUACCAACCCGAUGCAAACUGCGAAUACCGGAGAAUGUUAUCACGGGAGACACACGGCGGGUGCUAACGUCCGUCGUGAAGAGGGAAACAACCCAGACCGCCAGCUAAGGUCCCAAAGUCAUGGUUAAGUGGGAAACGAUGUGGGAAGGCCCAGACAGCCAGGAUGUUGGCUUAGAAGCAGCCAUCAUUUAAAGAAAGCGUAAUAGCUCACUGGUCGAGUCGGCCUGCGCGGAAGAUGUAACGGGGCUAAACCAUGCAC